AGAGUUUGAUCCUGGCUCAGGAUGAACGCUAGCGGGAGGCUUAACACAUGCAAGUCGAGGGGCAGCACGGGGUAGCAAUACUCUGGUGGCGACCGGCGCACGGGUGAGUAACACGUAUGCAACCUACCUCGUACAGGGGGAUAACCCGGAGAAAUUCGGACUAAUAUCCCAUAAUGAUAUUAAGAGGCAUCUUUUAAUAUUUAAAGCUCAGGCGGUACGGGAUGGGCAUGCGGAACAUUAGCUAGUUGGUAGGGUAACGGCCUACCAAGGCUGCGAUGUUUAGGGGACCUGAGAGGGUUAUCCCCCACACUGGUACUGAGACACGGACCAGACUCCUACGGGAGGCAGCAGUGAGGGAUAUUGGUCAAUGGGCGCAAGCCUGAACCAGCCAUCCCGCGUGAAGGAAGAAGGCGCUAUGCGUUGUAAACUUCUUUUCCAGGGGGAGAAUUUUCCGGUCGUGACCGGGAUUGACGGUACUCUGGGAAUAAGCAUCGGCUAACUCCGUGCCAGCAGCCGCGGUAAUACGGAGGAUGCGAGCGUUAUCCGGAUUUAUUGGGUUUAAAGGGUGCGUAGGCGGAUCAAUAAGUCAGUGGUGAAAUUCUGCAGCUUAACUGUAGACUUGCCAUUGAUACUGUUGGUCUUGAGUAUGGUCAAGGUAGGCGGAAUGUGUAAUGUAGCGGUGAAAUGCUUAGAUAUUACACAGAACACCGAUUGCGAAGGCAGCUUGCUGGGCCAAUACUGACGCUGAUGCACGAAAGCGUGGGGAUCGAACAGGAUUAGAUACCCUGUAGUCCACGCCGUAAACGAUGAUCACUCGCUGUUAGCGAUAUACAGUUAGCGGCUAAGCAAAAGCAUUAAGUGAUCCACCUGGGGAGUACGGCCGCAAGGCUGAAACUCAAAGGAAUUGACGG
rnacentral:rRNA from 1 species